rnacentral:sRNA from 1 species
CUUCCCCAGAGUGACCCAUUUGGGCUUGACAGGCGGAUAUGAGCAGCGAAAGAGUGAUCCGUUCCGAAGACGGAGAGACCUUGGCCAGGGUAAGUGAUUGUCUGUGGGACAGGGUGAAGGGUGGGGGCAACCCGAGGCUGGCCCUGAGGACACUCUCUCCCGGGCAGGAGUACGGUGUUCCCUUCCUGGAGACCAGCGCCAAGACUGGCAUGAAUGUGGAGUUAGCCUUUCUGGCCAUCGCCAAGGAACUGAAAUACCGGGCCGGGCAUCAGGCGGAUGAGCCCAGCUUCCAGAUCCGAGACUAUGUAGAGUCCCAGAAGAAGCGCUCCAGCUGCUGCUCCUUCAUGUGAAUCCCAGGGGGCAGAGAGGAGGCUCUGGAGGCACACAGGAUGCAGCCUUCCCCCUCCCAGGCCUGGCUUAUUCCAAGCAGCUGAGCCAAUGGGGAGAAAGAUGGAGGACUCACUGCACAGCCCCUUCCUAGCAAGGAGCUAUACUCCAACUCCUACUCGAGUUCCUGCGGUCUCCCCGCAUCCACAGGGAGGGUAAAACACUUAGCUUUUAUUUUAAUAGUACAUAAUUUAUACCAAACAAGGCACCUGGAUCCCCAAAAAACCGAGGCUGGGAGCUAGUGGCCCUUUUGCUUUCUAGGACUUGGGGGGCUGGCCCUCCCUCCUAAGCAUAACAAAGGUGGUGUUGCUCCAGCUCAGCCCCAGGGGACACAGAUGCACUUUGGGGGUGAGGGCAGGCAAUGACUCCAUCGCACCCUCAGUUCAGCUGGACAGAGGCUCAGGUGACCCCAGCCUUCACUGUCUCCCGCUCUCCAGGAGCUUAUCUUCGCCCCGUCUCCCAAAUAAGUUGGCCCUUGUGCUGUGAGGAAGACCAAAGCCUCAGGGAAGAUAAGAGAUACGGAGAUGGGAGGGGGAGGACAAGGGGCAGAGAGUAGGGUCUAGCUGGCUAUCUCUGGCCUUACUAACACCCCCCUGGAAGCAUGCCCCUUUUCUCCAGCACACAAGCACAUUGGGGCACCUGGAAAUAUUGGUUCCAGGCUCCUGUUCUCUGGACUUCAGAUCCUGGGGGAGCCCCUCCCCAACUGAAUCCCUGGCUUAGCUACCUUCCUGCCUGUGCACCUAAAAACCUCAGGUCAGAACUAGGAAAAGAGUUUUGUUUUUAUUUUUUUGAGAUGGAGUCUCCUUCUGUCGCCCAGGCUGGGGUGCAGUAGUGCAAUCUCCGCUCACUACAACCUCCACUCCCUGGGGCUCAAGCGAUCCUCCCACCUCAGCCCCCCAAGUAGCUGGGACUAUAGGUGUGUACCAUCACACCUGGCUAAUUUUUGUAUUUUUUGUAGACACAGGGUUUCGCCAUGUUGCCCAGGCUGGUCUUGAAUUCCUGAGCUCAAGCAACCUGCCGGCCUCGGCCUCCCAAAGUACUGGGAUUACAGGCAGAAGGCACCAUGCCCAGGCUAGAUGUGUCUUAUCCCAAUCCUUUGGCAGGCAUGCAGCUCCACAGGCGAUUUCUUCAAGCAGCUGAAGUGUUUAGCCCUCCUGGGUUAAGAGCCAGAUAAGGAGAAAUCCCUUUCCUAGGUUUGGAAUGUGUUGUGAAAAAAAAAGAGAGAAAUCCCUGGCUCCUGGAGCUGGUGGGAGACAAGAUUAAGCAAACCUCCCCUGACAUGUAUCCCUUUGACCCCAAGCUCUGCCUCUUCCCUGACCACCCAUGCCCUUUCCUUUAACUUCUCAAACAGAUACCAGGGCCUAAACUGCUUUACCUCCCCUCCUACUGAGUCGGGUUAGGUGGUGGGAGGUCACCCAUUUCCGAGUUAAACCAAUGCAAUAUGAGUAAAACAAGGUCAUGUGGGUAUGUCUGGGGUAGAGAGAGGGGUAGCAAGUUCAUGUGUCCUCCUUGGUCACAUAUCUCCCAAAGCUCUGAUCCCUGCCAUGGGAAGUGGACAGGAAACAUGAGGUCAUGACCUGCAGGCAUCUUUACUGCAGCUCUGCCGGACUGGAGGGGGAGAGGGGGAGGAAGAAGCAUGCGCUGCACAUUUCUGAGGCUACUGCAUUUGCUUUCAAGGCAGAAAUCUUGCUCUGAGCAGUCAGCGGCUCCAGUUUGGGCCCGAUAAGGAAGUUCUCCGUGGCCUCUCUCAGGCAGAGCAGGGAGGAGGCUGACAUUGCCAGUCUCUUCUGGGGCCCAAGGCAGGUUGCAGGAGAUCCAAUCCCGUAGACAGCUCUGGGCCUCUUGCAUUUGAGUUUUUCAGAAUUAAACUGCAGUAUUUUGGAAAGC